AAAGGGUCUUAUAAUUAGGGACGGAGGUAGUAAUAUAUACUCUCUCCGUCCCUUUUUAUAGGAGUAGUUUAC
rnacentral:pre_miRNA from 1 species